rnacentral:misc_RNA from 1 species
UCUUGGUAUGACUGUUAAAAGUCUUACAAGUAGUAGAAGAAUCAUUAACAUUCUUAAUCGUUUUGGACAUUGCUGCAACUAUACUACACUGGAGGAGCUGGAAACUGAAGCUACUUAUUCAUCUGUACAUCGCUCUGAAAUUAGUCCACCUGAUAUUAUUCGGAAAUCAUCGUUAUGCACAGGUGUAGCCUUCGAUAACUUUGAUAGGUAUGUUGAUACUCUUAAUGGAAAGGAAACUUUGCAUGACACCGUUGGUAUAAUAUAUCAAAAUAUUGAUAAUGAUGCUUCUAAUGAAAAUGAUAUCGAUUGUAGAAGUGAUCAGUCCGACAUGUUACCACCACCAGCAAAAAGAAGACGAACCUUUGAAGCCAUUGUUCCUGAACUUGUUCCAAUUUCUGCCCGAUUGCAAAUGUUAGAACGAUUAACACCUAUUGAGAACAUAGAGCAAUCUAUUCCGAGUACCUUGCCUUUAGUACAAACUAUUGAUUUAUUACAUAUGACUUCACUCUUUUUCCACGUGCCAAACACUCCAAUGUGGACGGGAUUUAAUUGUAGAAUUAUAAAGGAUAAUACUCCAAAACAAAAAGUAUCUUACCUUACUCCAAUCAAUUUGUCACCAACAGAGACAUCAGUAGUGAAGUUGACAAUGACACAGGCUCAACAAGUUGGUGUGGAAUGUGACCAAAAAUACGUCCAAGUAACAUAUGAUUUGGCCAUUGCUAAAAUAGCUCUCAAAAUUCAGGCAACAGAAACCCCAAAAUUUGAUAAUCUCUUCAUACAUCUUGGCUCAUUUCAUUUGAUGAUGGCAUUUUUUAAAGCGAUUGGAGUAUUUAUCAAUGAGUGUGGAUUAUCACAUAUGAUGGUUGAAAGUAAGAUCAUAGCAUCAGGCUCCGUGAACGGAAUCAUUGAAGGCAAACAUUUUAAUCGUUGUAAACGUCUGCAUCCGUUGAUGGCUGUAGGUUUGCAAAUAUUACAUUUUGACCAAUACUUGAAAACAAAACAAGUCGAACACAAUUUUUUAAAAGAACAAAUCAUUGAUGAUCUUUUACAAUAUCAAAAUCGUGAAAUUUCCCAUUCAACUACGACUGCUGAAUUAUUACCAAAUCAAGUAUUGUUUCGGCUGCUCUCUUCGUAUCAAAAAUUCGUAGAUAAAACAAGACAAGGUGAUCAUGGUAAAACUGCUCAGUUCUACAUGAUCUACAUACAACUAGUAAAUUAUUACAUCAUUUUAUCAAGGAGUAUACGCAUGGGUGAUUUUGAAACGUUUAAGCAUGUAAUUCCAAAAAUCACAAAUUUAUUUUUUAUGUUUAAUCAGCCAAACUACGCUCGAUGGUGUGUUAAAUAUUAUGAGAAUCUGAAGAACGUUGACGAAACACAUCCAGGACUUAAAGAGGACUUCAAAUCUGGAUGUUUUGGAAUUAAAAGAACUGAUAAACCUUUUUCGAGAAUACCAAUAGAUCUUACGUUGGAACAGACUAUAAAUGCAGAUGCAGCUAAACGUCUCAGCGGUAUUGCACAUUUUACAAAUUCGAUAGCUGCACGUCAACGCUGGACAAAAAGCCAUAGUAUUAGGGCUGCUUUGAUUUCCCAUGUUCUCGAUGUUUGUGGAUUAAGACACUUGCAAGACGUUACCGCAGACUUACAACCUAAUCGGAUUAAAAUUUUUGAAAAACAACUUGCUGAUUUUAUCGAUAUUUUUGAAAAAAACUGUAAUCCGUUUGAUCCAGAUCUAAACAAAGAUAAUAUUUACAAUAUAGCUACUGGAAAGCCGGCCUCUCAACAUAUAGCUGAGUUCCUACUGAACGUCGAAGAAAAUGGUGAUGAGUUAAGGAAACAGUUCAUUACUGAAUGUGCUAUAGAUGAAAAUAGAUUUGACAAACCGAUAAAAAAAAAUAAAAUACUUAACUUCGCUGAGGCUCCAAAAAAAAAAAAAAUUAACUCUCGGAAAUAAAGUUAUCGAGCUGAGAAUGCAACGCGAUUUAUUUGGGAGAAUGUUAGGAAUAUCGUUAACUCAUAAAGUUGAUAUUGAAAAAGUUUUAACAUUUCCACUGACACCAGUGCCAACAUCAAUGUGCCACGCAGAUGGCAGUAUUUGUAAAACUGACAAAUCUCAAUUGCUUAAAUUGAUUGAGAAGAAAAUCGGUGGUAACGUCGAUAAGCCACCUUCAUCUUUUAAUUCAGCUAUUUUAGAUGGUUUCUUCAUGUUACACUUAAUGAAAGAAGUACCUGUAACCUUCGAUGCUUUAUCUAAAAAAUUUCUGAGUAUGAUACUACGAUUUAAAUCCAAUCGUGUCGAUAUUGUCUUCGAUCAAUAUUUUACACCGUCAAUCAAAGAUUUUGAGCGUUCACGUCGGGAUGAAAUAAUCAGCCAAGUUACAAUCGGGCCCAAUCAAAUUCGUCCACAUAAUUUUAUAGCUGAACUUAAAAAUAUAUAUUUUAAAGAAGCCCUUGUUAAUUUUUUUAUUGACCAUUGGGCUGGUGAUGAAAUGGCUCCUAUCAUUAGAGAUAAAAUAAUUUAUGUGAACUUCAACAAGUGCUAUUCAUACCGGGUUGAAAGUAAUAAAGUUAUUAAAACUGUUGAAGAUUCACUGUCUUGCGAAGAACACGAAGAAGCCGAUUCUCGAAUAAUAUAUCACAUUUGCCAAAUAAAUGUCGAUGGUGAAGUUGUGAUACGCUGCUCAGACACAGAUAUUUUAAUAAUACUUCUUGGUAACAUGGAUCAUUUGAAUGCAUCACUAAAAAUCUGGAUAAAUUUGGGCGUGGGGAAUCAUGAGCGAUUUAUAAGCGUCAAUCAAGUGCACGAAAUUCUAGGGAAUUCUUUAUCGAAAGCUCUACCGUGCUUUCAUGCACUCACGGGAUGCGACUACACACCAGCUUUUUUCCGGAAAGGUAAACUUCGACCUUUUAAACUGUUAGAGCAAUCAGAAGAGUAUCAAUUAGCCUGUCAAAAUAUUAUAACAGAUGAUGAAGAAUUGCUGGAUGAGACAUUUAAGAUCUUAGAAAAGUUUAUUUGUCACAUUUACGGAGCUCGUGAUUCUUGGAACGUCAAUGAAGUUCGGUUUCAUCUGUUUUCAAACACUUAUUGGUCUAAAAAAUCAGAUGAUAAUUUUGAAAAAAAAUUUCGUAAUUUUGAUCCAUCAAGCCUACCACCAUGCAAAGCUGAAUUGUAUCAGCAUUUACUACGAAUUCGUUACGUAACAAAGUUUUGGAGAAAUGCUCAUUUACAACACCCAACAUCUCUAUCACCUCAAGCUUCUGGCUGGACCAUAAAUGACGAUAAAUAUGAUUUUAUCUGGUUUGUUGGAGAGCAGUUACCAUCAUUAGUUGCCGACAUUAUCAUUAAAGAUAAUAGCUUAUUACAAGACGAUGAUAAUCCAAAAGACGACGAUGACAAUGAAAAUGACAGCAGUGAUGAAGAUGAUGAUGAUGAUAAUUAUCAAGAUGCUUCCGUUUUUUGUGACACAAUUAUGGAUUAAAAAAUAUAAUUUUUG